AUUCUUGCGCAGUGGCAGUAUCGUAGCCUAUGAGGUUUAUCCGAGGCGCGAUUAUUGCUAGUUGAAAACUUUAACCAAUUCCCGCUUUGACGACUUGAAAUAUAGUCGGCAAUGGCAAUUUUUGAUUGUUAGGAGAAGUUACUGA